AUUGAACGCUGGCGGCAGGCCUAACACAUGCAAGUCGAACGAGUGGCGGACGGGUGAGUCAUGUCUGGGAAACUGCCUGAUGGAGGGGGAUAACUACUGGAAACGGUAGCUAAUACCGCAUACCAUCAGAUGUACCCAGAUGGGUUUGGCUUGUGGGUGGGGUAACGGCGCACCAAGGCGACGAUCCCUAUCUGGUCUGAGAGGAUGAUCAGUCACACUGGAACUGAGACACGGUCCAGACUCCUACGGGAGGCAGCAGUGGGAAAUUUUGGAAAAUGGGGGCAACCCUGAUCCAGCCAUGCCGCGUGUAUGAAGAAGGCCUUCGGGUUGUAAAGUACUUUUGUUAGGGAAGCGGUACCUAAAGAAUAAGCACCGGCUAACUACGUGCCAGCAGCCGCGGUAAUAC
rnacentral:rRNA from 1 species